AGGUCUGAGUACGGCCUCUAGCGAAAAGGCGAAACCGCGAAUGGCUCAUUAAAUCAGUUAUGGUUCCUUAGAGCUUACGUUGUCUUACUUGGAUAACCGUGGUAAUUCUAGAGCUAAUACAUGCACCGAAGCUCCGACCCUCUUUUAUCGAGUAGGGGACGAGCGCUUUUAUUAGACCGCAACGACCGUAUCCGGUGAAGGCWUUCGKUUCAAASCGRAUNUGCUCGGAUCCGUGUUUGCGUGGUGACUCUGGAUAACUCAGCCGAUCGGCCGUCGAAACAGCCACCGUCAAAAAGUGGCGACUAAACGGCCGACGCAACUUUCAAGUGUCUGCCUUAUCAACUGUCGACGGUAGGUUAAAUGCCUACCGUGGUAGUAACGGGUGACGGGGAAUCAGGGUUCGAUUCCGGAGAGGAAGCCUGAGAAACGGCUACCACAUCCAAGGAAGGCAGCAGGCUCGCAAAUUACCCACUCCCGGCACGGGGAGGUAGUGACGAAAAAUAACGAUGCGGGACUCGGUCGAGACCCCGCCAUCGGAAUGAGUACACUCUAAAUCCUUUAACGAGGAUCCACCGGAGGGCAAGUCUGGUGCCAGCAGCUGCGGUAAUUCCAGCUCCGGUAGCAUAUGCUAAAGUUGCUGCGGUUAAAAAGCUCGUAGUUGGAUUUCAGUCUCGGCCGCCCGGUCUCGCCCGUGUUGGCGGGUCUCGUUUUGGCGGCCGGUCAGAAUGUCGGCCGCCCGGGAUGAUCUUGACCGGUUGUCUCGGAACGGCCGGCGAGUUUACUUUGAAAAAAUCAGAGUGCUCAGAGCGGGCGUUAUCCGCCCGAACGCCCGUGCAUGGAAUAAUGGAAGAGGACCUCGGUUCCAGUCUGUUGGUCCACGAACCCUGAGGUAAUGAUUAAGAGGAACGGCCGGGGGCGAUCGUACCGCGACGCUAGAGGUGAAAUUCUUGGACCGUCGCGUGACGCACCACAGCGAAAGCAUUCGUCAAGAACGCUUCCGUUAAUCAAGAACGAAAGUCAGAGGUUCGAAGGCGAUCAGAUACCGCCCUAGUUCUGACCAUAAACGAUGCCGACCAGCGAUCGGGCUGCGCUCGCCACGACGAGGCGCCCGGAAGCUUUCCGGGAAACCAGAGUCUCUGGGUUCCGGGGGAAGUAUGGUUGCAAAGCUGAAACUUAAAGGAAUUGACGGAAGGGCACCACCAGGAAUGGAGCCUGCGGCUUAAUUUGACUCAACACGGGAAAACUCACCCGGCCCGGACACGGGAAGGAUUGACAGACUGACUGCUCUUUCUUGAUUCUGUGGGUGGUGGUGCAUGGCCGUUCUUAGUUGGUGGAGUGAUUUGUCUGGUUGAUUCCGAUAACGAACGAGACUCUAGCCUGCUAAAUAGCUAGCUCUUUUUAUAGGCUCUUUCUUCUUUUCCGACCUAUUUUUUUUGCGCGCUACACUGACGCCCACAGCGUGCGCGCUCGCCCGGUCCGACAGGACCGGGGAACCCCUUCAACGGACGUCGUGAUGGGGACAGGGGAUUGGAAUUAUUCCCCUCGAACGAGGAAUUCCCAGUAAGCGCGAGUCACUAGCUCGCGUUGAUUACGUCCCUGCCCUUUGUACACACCGCCCGUCGCUACUACCGAUUGAACGGUUCGGUGAGGUCCUCGGACUGGCUUACGCUGGCGGACCGCUGUUCCUAUUUUUUAAACGAGAUGGGAUUACGUCCGAUGCGGUAGCCGGAAAGUCGAUCGAACCGUAUCGUUUAGAGGAAGUAAAA
rnacentral:rRNA from 1 species